GUGAUAAUUUGAACAAAUUGACGAUCAAGGAUUAUAACCUGAACAGUGUGAACUGGUAUCUUUCACACUUUCUCGUCAUCGCGGUAUCGACGGUAUGUGAUUGCAUAUACGAUGGAGAGAAAUGUUAGGAGCUUCCUAAGUAUAAUUUUCUAUUUUAGAUUGAUGCAUUGGUAAAAUAUUAAUGGCAUUGUUUACACGAUUAAAGUAAGCUAAAGAAUAAAUGAUGGAGACAUACAUACUCAAUCAGGUAAUCAGUUGUAUUCAAAUUUCAAUAUUUUAUAAACUAUGAUUUCCAUAUGUUUAUAUACAGCUAUUUCAAUCAAGGUUGUCCACGAGCAAAGCGGAAAAGUCGAAUUUACGAGCGGGAAAGGCUGCUGGGAAUCGCUAACAGAUUAAUGAAUUUUCAAAGCGAUUCCCAUGCAGCAGCCUUUUGCGCUCAUAUUCGACUUUUCCGUUUUGCUCGUGGACAACCUUAAUUGAAAUAGCUGUAUACAUAUCCCUGUAUAUCAAGCGAAAAUAAUUCUAAAAUGUAUUGACAAGUUAGUAUUAUACAGGUAACCCAAUAACUCUAUAAGUGACAUAUAGUAUUAUACAGUAACCCAAUAACUCUAUAUAUAGUAAUUAUAUGUGCAAGUUGAAGAGUAUAUGCAUGUAAAAGGAAAUUGUCGAGUGUAGUAAAUUACAUAUGCAUUUAUUAGACCAAAGCAGGAACAACUGCGAAAAAUGCAACUAUAUAAUAAGUCUUCUGGUAGGAAUCGAACCUGCGGUCCUGCGAUUGCGGUGCAGCGCUCUAUAACCAACUGAAUUUAACGAUUUCAAAUUUUGACAUUACCAGAAAUGUGGGACAUUUUGCGUCCUCAAUCGUAACCAGCGGUUUUACGCAUAAAUGAUGAUUCAUCAAAAAAUACAAACAAAAUGGCGGCGGCUCAUAGUCUUCAAAGACAAAUCGUGUUGUUAAUAAUAAUAUAUUGAAGAGGAAACUCCGUGCUGACGGCUAAAUUCCACUUUAUUUUACUGCGAUUAACUAAUGUAAGAUUGUAUGACAUUUUUUACAACAGCAGAACCACUAUUUGUGGCACGAUCGAAGAAGUAUUUUCCAAAUUUGACGCGUUUACGCACGUAUAAUAAAUGUUUUGGCUGAGAAAUGUGCAUAAAUUUGCGUGAUGGCAGGGUAAGAGACUGGGAAGAGCAUAAUUAAUUUAAAAACAAAUAUGGCGGAGAAGAAACGCAAUGUAUGAAAAUUUUAUCGUAGUUGUGCUGAUAAAAAUGGCCUCUUGUAGCAUGUAUGGAUGAAUAAAAUGGCUAAGUUUAGAGGAUUUUGGAAGUAGUUUCUUGCGGAAUUUAGAUACUUUUGUUGGCGAAUAUAUAAACUUUGAAUGUUAUUGAAACAAUUGCGAUGCCAAGCUCAAGAUUUCGCUGGAUAUAUUUCCGUACACCAGGCUGCGUUUGUGGCGUGUAUUGUCAGAUUCACAUGCAAUAUAAGGAGUUAUUAUGCUGGUGAAUGUGAUAUCAAUAGUGAGCUCGGGAAGUGAGUGUAUUUUAUUCUAGAAAUAGUUGUUAGAAUUAAUAGAUUCCUGAAUCAGCAUAGCAUGUGAAACGAUGCCAAGUAAGCGUGAUUUGCGGCUCAUUCAUGCGAUAUUUGAGAAAGUUCUUAUAUGCCUAUACUAAUUCCAGCAUUAUCGGACGCCAUUUUGUUGCGUAAUUUUUGUGAUGUCCACCAUCUUGACCCACAUUUCUGGUAAUGAAUACUUAACAAGAAAUGUCGGACAAUGCAUCAUUAAAACUACGCCACAUUAUUAGAAUGUUUAAUUUUAAACUCUAUUAAUUAGUCACCAGGUAAAUAAACACUACAGAAUGCUACUGAAGAUCUCUAUAUACGAAAUUAAAUCCGGCCAAAAACAGCAAUCUUGCUCAUUUCUUACCGUAGACUAGAUAUUUUAUACCUCCGCCAGGAGGUUAUGUAAUCAUCUGGGUUUGUAUGUGUGUGUGUAUGUGUGUGUGUGCGUAUAUGUAUGUGUGUGUGUGUGUGUGUGUGUGUGUGUGUGUGUGUGUCUGUGAGCACGAUAACUCAAGAAAUACCAAACAUAUUCAUACGAAAUUUUUUGAAUGCAUUUCCCAUCGGCUAAGGAAGAACUGAUUAAAAUUUGGUUGAAUUUGGUUAAAAAUUGAAUGACAAAUAACAAAAGUUUUUCUUGCUUUUCCCGGUCAAUUAAAUAAAACUUUAUACUGAAUGCGUAAUUAGGACGUGCAUAAUAUAUGCACCAGCCAUCAAAUUCUAAUAACAAUAGAUUACUUCAAUAGUUUGCGCGUAGGCGGAGGCAUGCAGUCUCUGAGUGCCCUCUAGUUAUACAGGGUGUAUCAAAAAAAACGCAACCUCGGAAUUUCCCAAGAAAUCGACAUUGUUUUAAAGACAAAAGAUUUUAGGCGCCUGGGAAUUUAAAAUAGCACAACUGUCAAAAUUACUGCACACGCGAGUGCAUAAAGCAAAAUUUAUGCAUUUAUUUAAUGCACAACAACAGUAAUAUGAUCUAUUAGCAAUUCGAUUUCAAUUCCCAGCGGCCUAAAAUCUUUUAUGCUUAAGAAUUGCACAGUGAUUUCUUAGGAAAUUCCGAGGUUGCGUUUUUCUUUAUACACCCUGUAUAAUGCAAUCCAAAUGAACGUAUUUGGCUAAAUGCGUGUCGAAGUAAAACCAAAUUUUGGAAUGUUGUGCAGCAUUGCCAUUAGCGAGGAUCCAACGUGUUUGAAACUUUGAAUGAACCUGGAAUUUGGCUGACUCUUGGUCUUGUCCCAAUAUGUGGAGGUUAGGAUCCAUUCCGUUGAUAAAUCUGGUGGACAGCCGUUUUCUACCAGGAUGAGAAGAAACUGGAAAGUUUCGCCAUCGCGUGUCGGUUUCCUCCAGAAAAGUCUUUCAAUUUUUUGAGCCACAUGGGAUAGAAAACAUCGCCGUUGAUAGCCUGAAGCAAAGCACGUCUCUUCUUCGAAAUUUCAUCCGCUGUACAAGUUAGGACAAAACGUUUGACUAAUUCUUCCAUUAAAUAUGAUGGUAUAAAAUUGCUUGAAGAUGAAAUUGUGCGUAAGUGCGUUUGUUGAAUGGUUGAAAGUUCAAAAUAAGUACAGCUGCAGUGCUGCAUGAAUAGUUUCUGUGAUAUCAACAACUGGAAAUCUGAAAUAUCACAUUGAUAACACUACAGGAUGGUCUACUCGGCUUCUCGGCUCGCAGCACUGGCGGCUGGACACGGAACAAUCAAUUAGUCAAUGUCAAUGGGACAUUGUCCUUGACGACGUAUAGGCUAAAACCAUAUACGAAAAACGUAAAAACGUGGCGUAUAUAGGUGCCUAGAGUAAAAUGGUACAAUUGCGCAUGCAUACAAGCCUUUAGGCAUCUAUGCAGCCCUAUAGGCUUGUAUUGUCCUUGACGACGUAAAUUACAAAAUGAGUAUAGUAUAAUGUAUUGUUGUCUUUCCUGGCAGUUAUGACGGUUUGAAAACGAUGCAACUAAAUUACAAAAUUACUCAAAGUGCAUAAUAUAAGUAUUACUCAAAGUGAAUAAUAUCAUGAGUAUAAUAUAAUACUACAUAUGCACAAUUAGCCGUAACACUUUUGUCGAUGGUCUUGUGGGUUUCAUUGAUAUAGGGGGCUAUAUACGUGGUUUUGAAAAAACAAUGCAAUACAAUUGUGAUGUGUUGACGCGUUUGUUAAUUACUGCAGUUUAGUAUAUACGAAGUUGAAAGAACGAGGCAACACUAUAUAUUUGCACAAUUAGCCAUAACGCUUUUGUCGUUGGUCUUGUAGGCUUUAUUGAUAUAUAUGUGGUUUUGAAAGAACGAGGCAACAAUUAUCAUUUAUAGACCUGGAGCGAGGGGGAUUCGGCGAAAUAUUACCCGAAGUGAUGAUCUUUCCCGAGGGGCUUUGCCCCAAGGGAAAUAUCAUCACUUCGGGUAAUAUUUUGCCGAAUCCCCCGAGCGGAGGGUCUAUAAAUGAUAUAUUAUACCGAAAAUUAAAAGCCUCCAAGUUGAGAAUUAAAAACUUGACACAUACCUUCGUGAAUACGAUGUUUUAUUUUCGGAUUAACGCAAGUUUUCGUCGAUUUUCUUUCGAAUCACAUAUCGUUUGGAAUAUUAAUGACAACAUUUUUCAAAAUUUGCUUCAAAAUUUUGAAAACGCCCCAGGUUUUACGUUUAAAAUUUGAUUAUUCAUCACUCAUCAAUACUAUUUAUAUUUUGUCGGCCAUGUUUUUGUCAUGCGUGUUGUCUCGCGCGGUCUACGCGAAUAAUGUUCCACCCCAUGUUCCCCGGGGAACAUGGGGUGGAACAUUGUCAAAAGGAACGCAGGCUCGCUAAUUGAUGACGUAAGGCGUGAUAUCGCGAUUAAUUUCAUGCUCACGUGGCACAAACUAAGCUUCUUGAUUGGACAAUUUGAAUUUGAGGUAUAAUAUCACCAUAUAUAUGCACAAUUGUGAUGCGUUGACGCGUUUGUUACUGCAGUUUACUAUAUAUAGGAAGCGUGUACCCCAUGCGGCGCUGCAUAGGCAAAGCACCGAACUCCGCACGCUCAUAUUACAGUGCAUGCAUGUAAACUGUCAGUUCCUUACUUAGUAUAGCCACACUGUACAUCUCAAACAUUUUUAUUAUAUUUUCGAGGAGUUUGAUUUUGAAACCACACUGUAGGCCUACGUGUCAAACAUUUUUAUUAUAUUUUAUAGGAGAUUGAUUUUGAAAUAUAUUUUGUAUUGUAUAUUGAACUUUACAUUUUGUAAUUGGGAGUUAAAUUCGUUUGAAAACUCUGGAAAGAUUACGCACAUUAUCUUCCUAAUGUUUAGACUGAGAUGAUAGUCAUUCUACGAUACGUGGCACGUGUGCGAAAGAACCCUGCUGUUUUCUAUUUGUCAUUGUAGUUUGCCGGUCGAAUUUGAAGGAGUAAAAGCUAAUAAUGCAAUGAAUUGCUACACUGAUUCAGUUAUAUAAAGUGCGCACAAGAACCCUGCUGGCUUAUGUAUUUGUCAUUGACAUUGCAUGGCUGCGUUACAGCCAUGAAGCUGAGAUCAGCUCUACUAACUUUGCCGCUAGUCCAUGCUAUAACUGUUAUAAUUUGUAAUUUGCUGCCCGGAAAUGCCUAAAAUGUAAAAGUGAAUAUAAGCAUGUAUACAUAAUUUGAAAGGAAAUACACAUGAAUAUUUGACGUUGUCCAAGAUUCUAAAGUAAUGCCGCCAAGGGCGCCGUGAUUCGUUGACGCGUUUGUUACUGUAGUUUAUAGUAUAUACGAAGCGUGUUUUUGAAAGAACGAGGCAACACUAUAUAUAUGCACAAUUAGCAGUAACGCUUUUGUCGUCGGUCUUGUGACUUUUAUUGAUAUAUACGUGGUUUUGAAAGAACGAGGCAACACUAUAUAUGCACAAUUGUGACAACAGCUGUUCAGCUGAAGCAUCCGACACCACACUACAAACUUCUGACAAACAAAGCAUCUGACACCAUCUUACACCAUCUUCACCAGACAACCGAUGGCUAUAUUGGACAUAUAUGAAUCCCCGAUACGGCCCUGCCAGACUGGUAGCGACCCCUUAUGACAUAGACCUGAACCAAGGGGUGAUAAUCCCCUUGGACAGUAUACGUACGUACGAUUUGACUGAUUCUAUUUACAUAAAUAACCUGAGUAUAUGCAUGGGCCUGAAGUUCAACUCCACAAAUACACAGCACAUGUGUAUUCCCAUGCAUAGACGAACUCCCACCACAGCUGAAUUCGUAUACAAGACAGCUGCUGCCAGACGAUAGUUUGACAUAUAUUUGAGCGUUAUUUUCACUCAUACUAUAGCUGGAUAGUCAGGGAGGCCAGAAAAAAACCUACAAUAUACAGGAAACCUGGAUGGGGCCAAGACAACCAGCAGCUUCCCCACAAAGCAUCUAUCUUACAAGUUCUUAAUUCUUAAUUUAAACAAAGCUCACCAUCAAAGCACAUUUUAUUAAUUUAUUUUUUUAAUGUAAAUGUUAACCACACCUAUUUUAUUUCAAUUAUGAUUGGUGGAACCUUCUUGAGUUAUGUGACAUUUCUCUCAGAAUCAUGCAUUCAUGAUAUUAGCAGAAAUUGUAAGAAUAUGUAUUUGAUAGAAUAAAUAGACCUGCAUGCAGUUAAUUAAUUGAUAGUACAUCAAAGGAUUUUCAAUUUUCAUGAGCGUAGGCAUACAUAGUAUCGUACCAAUCUUUCAUGAUAUACAUCUGUAUAUGUGCAGAGUUUUAAAUCUUAAAUUUCGUUCACAAAUGAGCUUGCUUUCUUAGGCCCGGUUUAGGCGGCGAACUUUUCAUGCGCCGAAUCUAAUUGCUGUAUAGAUACGGCAAAAUAUUGGAAACUGAUUUAGACGUCGAACUUAAUUGUGCCGUACCAAAUUGCGAGGACACUAUAUUGGACAUAUUUACAAUGCAAAUAUAUGAUAAUCAUAUUGUAAUGUUACAAUGUAAAAAAUUAAGCAUGCAUUAGGUUCGGCGCAUGAAAAGCACGGCGUCUAAAUCAAUGUCGAACCUGUGUCGCAUAUACGACUUGUCUUGUCGCAUCUUCGAGUCGUGUCGAACUUAAUCAAAAUCUGCCGAACUUAAUUGAUUUAGACACCACUCUAGCGUCGCACUUAAUCCUUGCAUUAGAUUCGGCGCAUGAAAAGUUCGCCGUCUAAACCGGGCCUUAUGUUUUGAACAUUAAGGUAUUGACAAUGUAUGCAGGUCAAACUAAUGUUAGGUUUUAUUGAAGCGUGCUCUGAAAUAGCUAAAAAAAAGUUUUAUAAUUCUACAUUUGAACGAUUGAAAACAGUUAAACGAUUUUUGAACUUUUGAAUACAUACAGGCUACAUUUGAACGAUUGAAUACAUAAAGGCCUUACGGCCUGACUGAAACCCAUCUGAGGCGUGAAGCCUAAUCUGCGCCUAAUCUUAAGGUGGUAAUAAAAUUGUCAUUGGAAUUUUAGAUCGACAAAUAAUACACCAGAAUGUUGUUAUAAAUUAGACGAAUUUAAUACAUUUUGGUUGGUUUGAGAGGCGGAAUACGAAACAAUCGCAACUCGCUGCGAGUGCUUGCAUCUAAUUAAAAUUAACUGUUUAGCAUUGUGAAUGGAUGAAAGUGCUCAUGCAUCACUCGCAGCGAGCUGCGAGGAGCUUCGUGCGAGGACCGGAAGUCCGCCUUUACGCGCCGAAAUAUACCGCUUUACUUGAGCAUGUGCUUUGAGACAUGAAACGACAUCAACUGACGCUUGUUGGUCUCGUGUUUAGCCUAUCGAUCUUGUUAUUAUUCCCCUAGCGGCAGUUUCAUUUAAUGGUAAUAACUUCAUCGGGACUUGAGCCAACGUAUUCCUUUGUCCACCAAAAGAGUAAAAGCGCUUGUACGGUAGAGUCCUAUUCGAAUAAACUGCGUCUCACUGAAUUAUCAUACUGUUCUAGCUGAGUUGCUGAUCAAAUUUUCUUUAUAUCCAUGAUAUGUCAAUUCCAGCGUUUUUAAACUCUUUUCUGUCACAUUUCCUCCGUUCCUGCGAUGUCCGUAAUUGUUUACAGCUCCACACCAAGUCAAAUUUUCAAAUUUUCUUUCUCGGUAACAAGACAUAUUGCACUUUGUUUGGAUAUUUGUCAAACUGAACUCCCUUAUCACGUUGACUUUUAUUCUGCGUGUUCGUUGUUAACAUAUGAUUGGUCAGUUGAUCCUUCAUUCGGUUUACACCUGCCCGCGGAAUCAUUUGAACUUUGGACUAUUGGAUAUCGCCUUUUUGUGGCUGUUGACAAGCUUUUCCUGUCAGUAUGAGAUUAUAACCAUGCGGUUUGAAGGUGACAAACGUGUGGUCUCAUUAACUUUAAUUUAUAUAUUGUUGUAUAAAUUUGCUUAAAACACGUCCUGCGAGUUUAUUAAACGCCUUCAAACACGACUACAAAUUCAAUAGAUAUACUGUCUUAUUAGUAUUCUUUAUAUAAAAAAUAUUAAUGAGGACACGACUACAAUAGAUACUGCCUUAUUAGUAUUAUUUAUAUAAAGAAUACUAAUUAGGAGUGUUUCAUCAGGUAUAAAGCUUUUUCACGUGACAUAUUAUGGUUGACAUGAUUGAACUUAGAUAAUCUGGAGCUUAGAUAAUCUCGAACUUAAAUAAUCUGGAGCAAGUCCAUUUAGAGACUUGUAAACCAUUACAGCUUCACCAAUUUGACGUUGUAAUUCAAGAUUUUUUCCAGCCAAGGUCUUUGAAUAAAUUGUCAGCACUGGUGUCAUAGCCAGAAAAAGUCAAAACCCGGGCGGCACGGUUUUGCAAUUUUUGAAGCUUAGUAGCGAGCGUUUUACCACAAUUUCUCCACACGCUGCUGCAAUAGUCAGAAUGUGGCUGCAGAAGCGAGUUGAAUAUCAAUUGCAGAGUCCUGUGGGGGGAAAAUGAUCUGGUUCGUUUUAUUGCUCCAAUGCCGCUGGCAAUCUUUUUACACAGUCGAUCGAUAUGUUCGCUCCAGGUAAGGUUCAUCAAUAGUAACACCCAGAGAUUUACAAUUUGAAACCCGUUUUAAUGAGGCACCAUCAAUAACUAAAGAUGGAGAUUUGUAAAAAGUUCUUAAUCUCUGUCUAGAACCAAUUAUUAACAUAAAUUCGGAUUUCGAUUUGUUAAGAGUGAGCUUAUAUUAGCAAUGAGCCAUUCCUUAACGUUAGCGAGAUCAUGAUUCAUAUUAUGUUCAAUGACAUCAAUGCUUUCACUAUAUAGCAAAAGAUAAAUUUGUGUCAUCAGCGUACAUACGAGGUUGUGUAUAAGAAAGGCAGUUAGGUAAAUCAUUAAUGUAAAGAAUAAAUAAUAAAGGCCCUAGAAUUGUACCCUGUGGGAUUCCACAUGAUAGGAAACGAUUUUGUGAAAGGCAACCAUUCACAAAACAUUUUUGAUUUCGGCUAUUCAAAUACGAUUUAAACCAAUUUUUUCCAUGCCCUCAAUGCCGUAUGUGUUUAACUUAGAUAACAGAAUUUCAUGGUCAACAGUAUCGAACGCUUUCUUGAGGUCUAAAAAAACAACAACGUUAAUAUUACCGCGAUCAAUAUUAUACGCCCAGUCAUCAGUUGCCUCAAGUAAAGCAGUGACCGUAGAAUGAAGGAAUCGGAACCCUCAUUUGCAUGGUGACAAGAUUAUAGAUUGUUUUCAUUUAAAAAUGCAAGUCUGAUCGUGGACUACCCUUUUAAAUACUUUUGCUACCACAAGAAUAAUCGAUGUCGGGCGAUAGUUAUUCAAGUCUGAACAAUCACCCAUGUGAUUGCAUAUACAAAGGAGAGAAUUGUUUGAAGCUUUCUAAGUGUAAUUUCUUGUCUAUAGAUUGAUGCAUGCAUUGGUAAAAUAUAUUGAUGGCAUGGUAUAUACGAUUAAAGCAAGCCAAAGAAUGAAUGCUGAAGACACACAUACUCAAUCAGGUACGCAGCAUCACUUGUAUUCUAAUUUCCAGUGGCGGAAAUCUUAGUGGGUCGGGGGGGGGGGAGGGGCGACCGCCCCCACCUUCACGGAGAAUGAAGAAUUUUCGGAAAUUUUGACCUGAAAGAGGGCUAAAAACAGCCUUUUUGAGUGCAAAUUCGGGGAUUUGUCGGAAAUUUGAAAGGAGGCUUUGCCCCCCAACAGAAAAAGUGAAUUUCCGCCACUGCUCAUUUCAAUAUUUUAUUGAGACUAUGUUUUUUCUAUAUGUUUAUAUAUAUACAUAUAUCUGUAUAUAUCAUGGGAAAAUAAUUCUAAAAUAUAGUCUAGAUCUAUAAGUCAUGUUAGUUUGGCGGACGUUUUGUUGUUAUUCCCCUAAUCCAUGCAUGUAUCGACAAGUCAGUAUUAUACCGGCAUAAUACUAACCUGAUCCGACACGUCUCAAUAGAAAUCCAACUCUAUAGUAAUUAUGUACAAGUUGAAGGGUUCAAGCUAAGAGUAUUUAGUAUAAACCUACUAGUAGGCUAUCACAUAUCGUGGAUUCUGAUUGGCUACGCUACUAGUAGGCUAUUAGUGAUAGCCUACUAAUAGAAAAUUCAAAAUGGCGGAAAAUUCGCGUUUUGCACUUUUGCCGAAGUGGCUGAUGAUUUUUUUGGACGACUUGUUGAACAAUUCUGUACUAAAAAACCCCAAAAAGCAACAAAAAUAUGGAAUGGCAAUUUUUAAUGGUAAGAAAAUAGACAAAAUAACAUACACUCAAUGAAAUUUUAAAAUUAAAACUGAAUUUUGUAAAACAUUUUACGCGAGCAAGAACUAAAAUAUUUGUUUACCUUUAAUGGUUUUAUAAUGUUUUGUUUUUGUGUAUUUUUGUAUUGUGUUUGCAGCCUAGUUGUAAAUUAAUGUUAAAGUUUAUACUAAAACAAUUAGACAACUCGGCCUCGUUGUCUAUGAGAAAAUAGUCAACUCGGCUUCGCCUCGUUGACUAUUCGCUCAUAAACAACUCGGCCUCGUUGUCUAAUUGUUAAGUAGAUGGAAAUUGGCGAGUGUAAAUUUCAUAUGCAUUUAGUAGACUUAACCAGAAACAACUGCGAAAAAUGCAACUAUAUAUACGUAGUCUGGCACGAAUCGAACCUGCGGCACUACGAUUCCAAUGGAGCGCUCUAACCAACUGAGUUAACGAUUUCAAAUUUUGAAUAAUCAACAAGAAAUGUCGUACAAUGCAUCAAUAGAGCUACGAGGCAUUUUUAAAAUGUUUAAUUUUAAACUCUAUUAAUUAGUCAUCCAGGUAAAUAAACACUACAUAAUGCUACUGAAGUUCUCUUCGAAUCUCGCUCUAAAUACGAAAUCCAGCCAAAACUGCGUUCUUGCCCACUUCUAUACCGGUAGAUAUUUAAUUUUUUCUGUGUGGGCUUUCCUGUUCUAAAUAUGUGGUUUUUUAAUAAAUUUUAAACAUUAUACCCCUUGCAUAUAAUAAGUGAUAUUAUUAGACAUUCAAAUGUUAUUCUCGUUUGUGAUUCGUCAACAAGUCCCGGAUAAUUCUCAAUAUCCCGUAGCUGUCACGUUAUUUCCGCUGCCCACAUUAUUAUCAAGUAACAAUCGUUUUUCAUGGACGCAUUCGUGUCCAAGAUCAUAGCCGCUGUAAAAUCCAAUUCUCCAGCGCGUUAUGGACUUCUCAUUGUGACUGGAACCCAGUCCAAAUGUGAAAAGAGUAAAGUCAACGCUCUGCCGAAAGUCGUGGGUUUUCUCCGGGUACUCCGUGUUUCCUCCCACAGGAAAAGUUGACAGGGUGGGUUAGGCACAUAACUAUGUAAGUGCACGACCACAUCAGCUAUGCUGCGAAUUUAAUCGUGUUGAAAUAAAUGCUUAUAAUAAUAUAAUAAUAAUAAUAAGCUAGCCAAAUUUUAGAUGAAGUGAUUUAGGGUCUGUUCAUAUGGGGAAAUGUUAUCCUGGUUAGCGAGAAAACAUUUCGACUAGCCAAAUAAUUUUGUUCCGGUCUUAUGGAGAAACGUUAUCCCGCUUACUGGGUAAAGUUUCCGGCUGUGACAUAUAGCACUGGUGUGACACGCAAGGCGGGAAAAGUAAAAAAAAACUUUAAAUGCAUUUUAAAACCAGAAAAGUUGCUUACACGACGGAACGUUUUCUCGCUAAGUGGGAAAGUUGUGGGUAUUUUGUCUUCACAUGGGAAAAAUAUUAUCCCGGUCGAUCAUCGAGAUCUCGCAUGUCAACAAGCAAGAUCUCGUUGCACGGGAAAUCUUUUCGUCUCAUAUGAACGCAGUACAUGUAACUUUUCAUAUUUAUUUUCAUAACAAGGCGAGAUCUCGCUGGUAAACUUGUCGAAAUGUUUUCUCGCAUACCUGGAUAACUUUUGCCCAUAUUUCUCGCAUACCUGGAUAACUUUUGCCCUUAGUGAAAAUAAGUGCCAUAAAAAUUCCGCUGUACUUUUCUUUCAUUCAUUCAUUCAUUCAUUCAUUCGUUCAUUCAUUCAUUCAUUCAUUCAUUCAUUCAUUCUUUUCAUUCGUUCUUUCAUUCAAUUGGUACAUUGACUCAUGAAAACAGCUACAUCUAGCUAGUUUAUAGUAAAAGAAUUUUCAUACAUUUAUUACACCUAACCAAGAGCAGUUGCAUGAAAUGCAACUAUCGCGGCCCUCUGGCGGGAAUCGAGCUUCCGGCUCUGCGAUUCCUGCCCUACCCAAGCUACUCGAGCUCUAACCACGGUUUAUGCACAAAUAUUGCCAAUUAAAGGACAUUGGCAAUAUAAAAUUAGUUUGUCUUAUUCAAAAGAACUGUUGAAAUGAUAUAUUAAACUAUCUUACCAAUUUGUCGUAUCUUGCUUAGUUUUCGAAAUAUUUAGACCGAAAUUAAUGAGCUGUGCGCCAUCUUGGACGAGUUCUUGACCUCAUUAACUAUGGUUUUGAUGACGUCGGGAGUUAACAAUAUAAAACUACUCUAAAAUGACCGAGUACCAAUCCAAAAUUGUUUGAAAUGUUUUUAGUCAUUCCUAAAUUUCAGACAGCAACCAGAAACGAACUUUUGGACCCAUAUUGAUCGCUUACUCUCGAGAUAAAAAAUUAGCGUGACCCUUCUCUUGACGUAACAUGCAUAUCCUCAAUAAUCCAAGAUGGCGAACAGCUCACUUUUUCAAGUCGUAAUAUUUUGAAAACUAAGCAAAAUAUAAACAAUCUGUAAUAGAGUCUAAUAUAUAGUUUUAAGAGUUCUUUCGAAUGAACUAAACUAAAUUUUUAUUGCCAAUGUCCUGUAAGGUGUAUAUGGGUAAAUUUCACGAUAUUGGGAAUCUCACUUGAUAUCCCUAAUUGUUGAAGAGAUAAACUUGUGGUUAGAGUUCUGCAACCGUCUCUUUGUAGCUCAGUUGGUUAGAGUCCUGAACCGGUAUCGCAGGGUCGCAGCAUCGAUUCCUGGCAGAGGCCGAUAUAGUUGCAUUUUUCCCAAUUAAAUUCCAUUCGAAAAUUUCCAGCUACAAAAUCCCCUCGACAGUUAGUUAUGCAGAGUGAGAUAUCCAAAAUCCUGCAUAAAGAACGAAUAAUGUUGAACAUGACGAAAUUCACUACGUUUAUUAUGCAAUGAUUUUUAUUUAUAUACAAUGUUUCAGCUAGGUUUAUGUAUAUAUAUAUAUAUAUAUAUAUAUAUAUAUAUAUAUAUAUAUAUAUAUAUAUAUAUAUAUAUAUAUAUAUAUAUAUAUAUAUAUAUAUAUAUAUAUAUAUAUAUAUAUAUAUAUAUAUAUAUAUAUAUAGAUUAAUCACUAGGCGAAAAGCCAUAAAGGUAUAUAAAUUAAUCAACACAUAACGUAACGUUUCGACUUUAUUGUCUUCAUCAAAUAUAAUCUUACUUUACAGGCGAACCCAAUUUAUACCCUCCCAAUUUUGCUAAUUAUACAUAAUAUGAAUAUAAGUGAUUUACCAUACAAAUAACAAUAUCCUGUUAACUAUAAUUAACAUUGCUACGCAUUCUCUAUGUUCAAUCCCGAAGGAUGCAUUGUCUUUAGUUUACUUAUCCAAAAUGCCUCACGUCUGGUCGGUUCCGCUGGGUCAGUUUUAUCAAUUAAAACAAUCUCGCAAUCACUAAUCAAUCCAUUAUGUCCAUUACCCAAGAAAUGUUGAUGGAAAAACAUUUGUGUAUAAGCCUCGUUAUUAACUGCCUUUUUGUGGCAGGCUUUAUAAUUAUUCCAACGGUACCUAAAUUUAUCUGUUGUUUCGCCAACAUAUUGUUUUUUACAGACUUUACAAGUAAGAAGAUAAACCACACAUUUCGAGUCGCAAUUCAACCUAUGGUUCACUUUGUACUGUUUACCAUCUGUUGAACACUCAAAGCUGUCGGUUUCUCGAAUAUUAUUGCACGUUAAACAUCGUGCUUUCUUACAUUUCUUACACUCCUUUUCCCUCACUAACGGCGGUACUUUAGCCCUAACUAAAUAACUUUUUAAGUUGCGGCCAGUUUUAAAUGCCACAAAUGGUCCGGGCGAAAACACUUUCUGAGCUUCUGGAUCUAAGUAUAAUAUAUGUAUAUAUUUACGGAUUAUAAGACCAAAGUCCUUUAACAGAGGAUGAAACGUAAUUGUCAAAGGUACUCCUAUUUUUCUUUUUUUGUUAGAUGCUUUAUCACAAGAUUGCAACCUCUCAAAUUCUUUCCUAAUAAGCCACAUUGGGUAGGCUCUAUUUUGCAGCCAACCCGACAAUUCCUGCAAAUGUUUAUCAGCGUCUUCCUCUCUUGAGCAAAACUUCUUGAUGCGUAGACCCUGACUAUAUACUAUAGACCUUUUAUUAUAGACCAUUAUAUAUAAUAAUAAUAAUAAUAAUUUCAUAUUUUCCAGUCUUAAAUCCGUCUGACCGUGUAGCUCAGUAGGUAUACGUAUAUAUAUAUAUAUAUAUAUAUAUAUAUAUAUAUAUAUAUAUAUAUAUAUAUAUAUAUAUAUAUAUAUAUAUAUAUAUAUAUAUAUAUAAAAGACAAACUUGAGUUACUUCGUUUAAAACAUUUAUUCACGACAAAUUUGUUUCGUAUGGCAAGCUAGUUGCCAAACGUUGGCAAGCUAGCUUGCCAUACGAAACAAAAAUUUGUUGUGAAUAAAUGUUUUAAACGAAGUAACUCAAGCUUGUCUUUUAUUUGCUCUACUUUUGUAUCGAGCACUCUAUUCUUAUGAUUCGACACUCAAUAUACUUAUUGACAUUCGCCUAUAUAUAUAUAUAUAUAUAUAUAUAUAUAUAUAUAUAUAUAUAUAUAUAUAUAUAUAUAUAUAUAUAUAUAUAUAUAUAUAUAUAUAUAUAUAUAUAUAUAUAUAUAUAUAUAUAUAUAUAUAUAUAUAUAUGCUGGCUGUGUUGGCUCAGUAAGAGACAUGUUUUCGUUUAUUGUUGUAACUGAUCUAUUAUGUACAAUUAAAAAAGAUAAAAAGUAUACUGAAUUUUCGGUCGCUAACUGCGACGGGGUCGGGUGCGAAAGGUCGCAGUCAGCGACCGAAAAUUCAGUGUACUUUUUAUCUUUCUUAAUUUGAUAUAACAGAUCAGUUACAACAAUAAACGAUAUAUAUAUAUAUAUAUAUAUAUAUAUAUAUAUAUAUAUAUAUAUAUAUAUAUAUAUAUAAUGGUUUUUAAGCUCGGCGCGGCUUAACACGGGCAAAUUACCAGUUGCCUAAUAACUGAGACUAUGCAUACAGCUAGUGUUGACUAAAUUACACUAUUGACAUUUCAUAUUCAUAAGAUCUAGAAUUACAAGAAGAUACUAAUCAAGUAUCUUAACAUAAUAUGCUUAUGGUUGUAUGCACCUCAGGGGUAAUCAAUGUAUAUAUAUAUACAUAUAUCUAAGACGUAUACUAUAUAGACACGCAAGACCAGAAGUCCCUAACUCGGACAUUGUGGUAUAGAUAUUUCAAAACAAGUCCUAACAAUGCUAGUUUUCUCAUGCACGUGUCGAUCUAUAUGCAUGCGUUAAUAAUUGAUUUUAUAUACAAAUCAACAGUAGGCUUUUCUCACGUGUCAGCCAUGUUCGUGAAUGAAAAACGAGGCAAAUUACGGAACGAAGAAUGCAGCUUGAUUGGCUCCGCUAGCUCUUAUGCUGCUCGUGCGUAUUAGCCUCGCUUUUAUUUCAACAUGGCUGACACGGAGGAAGGCCCAUAUAUGUUAUGUUAAAGAUCAUACAAUAUAGUUUGUUUGGAGCAUUUCAAUGGGCCGUGCCCUCUUAACUCUUUGUGAUCUUCGUUCGUGAUACGCUUUGCAUUUCAUAGCUUAUAUGAUCUGUUAAAGUGUUAAAAAUGUUCAUACCCACUGCAUGCAGGGGUUUCUACUCCGCAACAGUAUAUAACGCAGUAUAUACAACGUAUACGACAAGGUAUACCUCAUAUCUUAAUGCAUCUUUGGGCAGAGCAAACGGGUAUAUUUUAGAGCAAAACUUAUGAGUUGUUAAACAGUUGCUUUUAAACAUGUUACCCAUGAGCUUCCACUCUGCAUGCAUACACAAAGCAGCUGAUAUAGUGGUUUUUUGAAGUAUAAUACACGUCAGUCUGCAUUAUUUGCGAUGCCAUGGUAGCCACAUUCUCUGUUUGUGCAAAGACUGAUUUUGGUUUAUGCAUGUGAGUGCAUGAAAGCGCCCUUGCGCUUUUAAUCGAGCUCGUCAGCUUUGUGCGGCUUGUAGACUAAUAGGAUCAGUUGCUGAUUUUCAAAGAGCUGUAGUUUAACUAUAACUCAAGUAAACACGGAAUUUAUGCACCUUUGUAAUUAAGCCGUAAAGUUAGAAAAUGUUUCUCAAAAUUCAACGUGGUCUCUUAUUUUCUAUGAUUUAUAUCUGCUGUUCAUAUUAAGGUUACAUCCAAUUAACUGUUGCACCACAAGACUUUAUCUUAUUUAGGUAAUUGCCUAGAAGGAAGUAUAGUUCGCGCCAUGCAGUGUGGGGUUGUUGAUCGUUUUCUUUCUCAUAUAGAGUUUAAGGAUCUAUACAUGGUGUAUAAAAAAAACUGAUCAGAUCUGAAAUUAAUAUAUUGCUCCUAAAUUUGAAAAACAGUUAUUAUAAGUAUCCAAUUUUUGAUAUGUAUAACUUCUAUAUGCAUGGGUAGGCCUAUUUCUAAUGUAGAAUAGUGAAAAAAAUUUCUCGAACUGAAAUUUUGUAAACCAGGGGGAGGUGUAUUUUCCAACAAAUUAAAAAUGAUUUGCGCACGAGAUUUAAAAACUUCAAUCAUAUUGCUGCACGAAAUUGCAGACAAUUUGCUUCAGUUUAAGCCCUUUAACUAUUCACGCAAAUUUACAUUUUUCCCUAAAAAAUAAGUCAGCCAUAUGCACAUUAGGUAAUGGCAUUAAUUAAGCAUGCGAAAGGCCGAUUUUUUAGGAAAAAAUUUAUAGUUAAAGGACCUAAACUAAAUCAAAUUGUCUGAAAUUUUGUACGCAGUAAUACUGCGUACAAAAUUUCAGACAAUUUGAUUUAGUUUACUGUAAUUAAAAACCUAACAAAUGUUCCAUCCAUUAACUCAAAAUACUCACUUGCACUUAGUUUAUUGGAAACGAAACACCCCCCUGGUUUACACAAUUUGAGUUUGACUAUUUUUUUCAUUACUCUACAUUGUGGGUACUCAAGGAAUCAAUAUACAGGUAUAACAAAAACUUGAUACCACGAGCUGUUUUGUGAAAUUGAGAGCAAUUUCAAAUCUGUUCAGUUUUUUUAUACACCCUGUAUACACUACAGAUUAAGCGCUCGAUCUAGUAUACCCACAUUAAUUAAUAAAAUGUUUCCUUAUCUAGUUCUUAGUGGAGGUAAUUCUAUUCCACUUGGCAGUGAUUGGGUUCUUGAGCUUGGUCGGCACAUUAUUCGCUGAAACAGAUUUUUGAAGGCCUCUCUGUACGUUCGGUCCAGACAGGCAUAAAUUAUUGGGUUACAUAAACAGUUAAACAGUGGGAGUAGCACUACUAGUGUUCCACCUGUAAAUACCAAAUACCAAUAACUCAAUGAGCGGUUGUCCAAAUCUACAAAAUUUGAAUAGUAGUUCACCAGCAUCUGAAAAAUAAAGUGAGGACCCCAACAAAGUAUAAACACUCCAACGACAACCAAUAAAAUACGAAUAGUCUUCAGAUCUUGAAGAAAGGCCCUUCGUUGGUUCUGAUCAUUGCAGGUUUGACCCAGUUCCCCAUUUCGCAGCAUUUUUUGUCGUUCAUGAACAACAACAAAAAUGAGAGUGUACAUAACCAGUAUAACUACGGUGGGUAGAAAAAAUGCACUUACUGCUACGAAAGUAUAGAAUACUUUUCUAUUCUCAUCGUGAAGGUUGCAAUUUGUCAUGCUUGUAAACAAGAUGCCCAUGCUUCCUGAAUGAGGAGCGGCGGCGUACGUAGCAAAGGCAGUUGAAAUCAACCAAAUGACAAAGAUAAUUUUCAAUGAUUUGGAAGUUGUCAUUCUGGAUCUAUAUUGAAGUGGCUUCCUCACCUUGAGAUAUCGGUCAAAACUGAUGAAUGUCAGUGUAUAAAUAGAUGCUGAUAACAGAAAGGUAUCUAUCCAAGCUAUGAAACGACACAGGUGAUUAGACAUGGUACGUCGCGAUUCAACAUCGAUACUGCUUUGAUAUACCUUCAAUGGUUCUAAAAUUACACCAACCAAAAGAUCAGCGACAGCCAGACAAGCAAUAAAAUACUUAGUUGGUUCAUGUAGACUUCUUUCUCUCCACGUUGCCACCAAAACCAAAGUGUUCCCCAAAAUGGUAAAUAUGGCGAAAAAUAUUAAUAUAAUUUUUUCUGCUAAUAUGGUCUGAUGAAGAAAUGCAAUAAGUUUCAUAUGAUCACUCUCCGUCCAUGUACUCGUCUCUAUUUGAUUUGUACGGUGAACAUCACCAGUAUUGUUUGACAACAUCACUGUAAAACGUGAUCCUAAGAAUAGAUAAGAAUACCAUACUAUAGUCAGACAAAUUCUAACAGGGUCAGCUAGAGUGCUGCAUGUACUCUUCAGUUUUUCGUAUAAUGACCUCAUAGUCAGACUUUUAAAUACUCUCAAUGUGUUAUAUAGUUAUUUCUAUAAUAUGUAUGGCUAAAUUUGCAACAGAUGAAAAAACUACAAAUUAAACAGAACCGAUAUACUAUUAUAAUAAUUGACUUAACGCAUGACCUCGUGCAGACAAUAUACAAAUACAAACCGAUUCCGUU